rnacentral:rRNA from 1 species
UUUACGGAGAGUUUGAUCCUGGCUCAGGACGAACGCUGGCGGCGUGCCUAACACAUGCAAGUCGAGGGGCAGCAGGCCAGACCUUUGGUCUGGUGCUGGCGACCGGCGGACGGGUGAGUAACG